rnacentral:rRNA from 1 species
AGUUUGAUCAUGGCUCGAGAACGAACGCUGGCGGCAGGCCUAACACAUGCAAGUCGAGCGCGCCCUUCGGGGUGAGCGGCGGACGGGUGAGUAACGCGUGGGAACGUACCCUUUGCUACGGAAUAGUCUCGGGAAACUGGGGGUAAUACCGUAUGAGCCCUUCGGGGGAAAGAUUUAUCGGCAAAGGAUCGGCCCGCGUUGGAUUAGGUAGUUGGUGGGGUAAUGGCCCACCAAGCCGACGAUCCAUAGCUGGUUUGAGAGGAUGAUCAGCCACACUGGGACUGAGACACGGCCCAGACUCCUACGGGAGGCAGCAGUGGGGAAUCUUAGACAAUGGGCGCAAGCCUGAUCUAGCCAUGCCGCGUGAGCGAUGAAGGCCUUAGGGUUGUAAAGCUCUUUCGUGGGGGAAGAUAAUGACUGUACCCCAAGAAGAAGCCCCGGCUAACUCCGUG